CAAAUCACAACCACAACACAAAGCAAAACCUAAAACAAAAUCCUUGCUACCCAUCGCCAGCAAAAUCCCCAAAUCACAACCACAACACAAAGCAAAACCUAAAACAAAAUCCUUGCUACCCAUCGCCAUCCACAUCCUCCCGUCGUUGCCCCAUCACCCACGGCCACCACUAUCACUGUCAACACAAAGUAAAAUCCCUAAAUCACAAUCACAAAACAAAGCAAAACUCCAAAAUCAACCUCUAUAUUGAUUUGAU
rnacentral:lncRNA from 1 species